rnacentral:rRNA from 1 species
UUUAAUUGAUUUCUUCGGAAUGAAGUUUUUGUGACUGAGUGGCGGACGGGUGAGUAACGCGUGAGUAACCUGCCCUUCAGAGGGGGAUAGCGUUUGGAAACGAACGGUAAUACCGCAUAAUGUAUUUUGACCGCAUGAUCGAAAUACCAAAGAUUUAUCGCUGAAGGAUGGACUCGCGUCUGAUUAGGUAGUUGGUGGGGUAACGGCCUACCAAGCCGACGAUCAGUAGCCGGACUGAGAGGUUGAUCGGCCACAUUGGGACUGAGACACGGCCCAGACUCC